GGGCAGUCUGACAUAUUUUGAGAAGGCAUUCGGUCUGAGGAGUUGUAGAGACAGGAUAUCCCAGAAGGUCUGAAGAUUUCAUACAGGACUGAUGCUGCCAUACAUCAUCGUGGGGGCCGUAAUAGGAGUAAUUGUUUGGGAAAAGAAGAUAAGAGAAAAGAUAAAGAAAUGGGCAGCGGACAAACAAUAGGAGAAGAUCCUGAUGGCAAACGAAGGACUGAAAGUAAAAGACAAUGUGAAAGGAAAUGCUGAAGGCUUGAAUCUGAUCAGUUGCGCUGAAAGGCUUCGAUUCUAUGCCAGUUGACAGUGAUGGAGUUCACAAGGAAAGCCCUUCGUCUUUGACUUCUGAUUGGUGAAAAUUGUAACUGUAACUUUGCAACAAAUGCUUGUGCUUCUAAAUAUUUGUGCUUUUAAAUCCUGCUUCUUCCCCUGCUCAGGGCUGCCAGAAAAAGCAAGGCUCCUGAGUCCUUGUCCUGCAGCCCUGAUUGACCACUGGCCCGCUUAAAUGGUGAUUUAUUAAAGUCUUUGGAAC